GUCUAUGGCCAUGCUACCCUGAAUGUGUCCGAUCCCGUCUGAUCUCAGAAGCUAAGCAGGGUCGGGCCUGGUUAGUACUUGGAUGAGAGACCACCCAGGAAGACCAGGUACUAUAGGCA
rnacentral:rRNA from 1 species